rnacentral:misc_RNA from 1 species
UUUUUUUUUUUUCCUUUUGUUGUUAGAGUCAUAUACAUAAUGGUCAUGUGCUUUGUAUGCACGUAGGAAGUGGUAGCAUUUGUUUCUACAUUUGUUUCUCUUUGGUUGUUAUCCAUUGCCUAUUUAUUAGGCAUUUCAUUAUUCAAUAAACAUAGCAGUUCAGGCUAAACAAUAUCCUCAUAAGCUUCUGCAAUCUGUAUGUGUGUAUGAGAGCGAUCUGAUUCCAACAAAAUAUUGCUAAUUUAUUCUUUAG